CGGACGGGUGAGUACCGCGUAGGGAUUUAUCGUUGGGUGGGGGAUAACCGCGGGAAACUGCGGCUAAUACCGCAUGACGCCUGUGGGCCAAAGGUCUUUGGACUGCCUGAUGAGGAGCCUGCGUCCGAUUAGCUAGUAGGUUGGGUAAUGGCUGACCUAGGCUGUGAUCGGUAGCUGGUCUGAGAGGAUGAUCAGCCACACUGGGACUGAGACACGGCCCAG
rnacentral:rRNA from 1 species